GGGUGUCCGCACAUCGGCGCGGGCAGGGAAUAGCGCUGGUCGGGCCGCCAGCG
rnacentral:ncRNA from 1 species